GUCCCUGUAGCGCAAUGGAUAGCGCGUUGGAAUGCUAAUCCAAAGGUCUGUGAUUCGAAUUCUACUUGGGAUG